UUUCCUUCUAACUCUAACCUUUGUGCCGCUGUCUCUUCUCCAUCUUCUGCAUCUCCACAAAAUCAGAAACUGAAAAGUUGAGAGAAACUAAACCUAAACUCAAACCCCUUUCUCCAUCUUUUUCAUCUUCUCUUCUCCAUCUUUUCAUCUUCUCCAUAAAACCCAAAUUCUCAAACAAACCCAAAAACAACAGAAACAAUUUGUUCCUCAUCAAACAAACGCUUUAUUGCACACCAAGAAACUAUCGGAAUCAACUCAAGUUGUUCUUCGUGAUUUCAGUAAUGUGGAAGGUCUUAUCAAGAUUCACAGCUAGGUAUGGAAAGAUGAAACUCAAGGCAAUGCUUUCAUCAUAUAUGUCGUCUAAUUCCAAUUCGAGAGAAUUCCUAAACCUUGGCCUCAUCCAUUUUUAGGAUCAUGGAUACAGAUCAUUCCAAAGAUACAAGAAAAGUGUUGGACUGCUUUAAAAUGUGAAGUUGUUUCUCCUGUGCUGGAAUGCGAGAUUGCAGCUAAUCCUGAAGUUCAAGGUACUGCAAUUGUAUUGAAGCCAAAGCAAGAAGUGGUUGCUUAAUACACAACUUAGAUUGUGCAUGGACAACAUUAGAAUAAUCCUUCUUCCAAGUGAAUGACCAUGAUGAAAGGAGUUCAUCCUCUUAUUUACUGAAAUGAAUGGUCAAUUUUGUUCAACGAGACCCAUGAGUAUUGAGCUUGCUCAACAAAAUUGCUGGUGUCGCUUAACAACAACAUCCAAAAGAGAGGCUGCAACAAUGUGCAUAUGUUGAUAGAUUAAAGGCGCCAAAUGGUGACGAGUAUGACUUCGAUAUUGAUGAAAUUAUGGAUACAAGUUCUAUGUUAGGUGAUAUAGAUGAAGUAGUUGGAGAUAUGUUUCAAGAGGUGAUGUGAUUAAGUGGCAUGUAAUAUCUGUAGGAGCCUGCUACACCAGCUGCUAAAGUUUCCUUUGGUCACUUUCGGCUCUCAUUCUCAGCUCCCACAGAUUCUGAGUAGAUAUUGAAAGAGGUAUUCCUGAAUCAUUCUUUAUCAGCCUACCUAUGUGGGAAUCUUCAUUCAAGGUUUAGUAAUUUGAAGCGGCAUCAUAGUUAUAGACAUAAUUUCUUAUCAUUGGAGAAGUAUUUCCAACCAAAUGUCCACCAAAAUACUUAUGAAAGUAGCACAGACAAUGCUAAUUUUUCUAAUGGAGACCCAUCUGUUAAAGAAUUCUGGGAGUGGGAAAUGUGGCAAGGUGACAGCGGAUUAAUUACGAUUUUGAUUUUCAGUAU